rnacentral:rRNA from 1 species
AAGACAAGAAGGUGAGAUUUCUUAAACAAUGAGGAGGUUGGCUUAGAAGCAGCCAUCCUUUAAAGAUAGCGUAACAGCUCACUCAUCUAGAGAUUUUGCGUCGAAAAUAAUUGGGGCUAAGUAUAUUACCGAAUUUGAGGAUUUAAUCCCGCCUCGGCGGGAUUGAGUGGUAGGAGAGUGUUCCAAUCUGCAGUGAAGGAAGACUCGUGAGAGCUUCUGGAGCGUUUGGAAGUAAGAAUGUUGGCACAAGUAACCGCAAUGAUGUUGAGAACGCAUCACGUCGAAAGAUCAAGGUUUCCUUGGUAAUGAUAAUCAGCCAAGGGUUAGUCGGGCCUAAGGGAAUGGUGAAAACCGUACUCGAUGGACACAGGGUUAAUAUUCCCUGACUUCUGUAUAUAGUGAUGGGAUGACGGAGGGUAGUAUGUAUCGCUCAUUAUUGGAUUUGAAGUUUAUGCCUUAAUUGUACGCUAUAGGAAAAUCCGUAGCGUGACUUAAAUGUCAUAUGAAAGAGGAGUAAAGAAUUUAGUCUCUCGGGACUGGAUAAUGAUACAAAGCACGCUUCCAAGAAAACUCUCUAAACUUAUAUGUAUAGAAUCCGUACCGCAAACCGACACAGGUGAUCAGGUCGAGUAGACCAAGACGAACGAGUGAGUGGUCCCCAAGGAACUCGGCAAAAAAGCAGCCGUAACUUCGGGAUAAGGCUUGCCCCCACCACUUUGGAUAUUUCUAAAAAAUAUUCGAGUGGCUGGAUGAGUAAGAUUAAAUUGAGACAAAAGCAAAUUAGUGAUUUGCAAAAAUUGCUCUUCAUCACGAGUACUUCUACGAGCGAAGUAUCUAAAGUGGUGGGGGCCGCAGCGAAAGUAUCUCUGGCAACUGUUUACCAAAAACACAGCUCCCUGCGAACUCGUAAGAGGAUGUAUAGGGGGUGACACCUGACCAAUGCCAGAAGGUCAAAUAUCGACGUUGGUAGUAGUAAUAUUAUUGGUGAUUGAUAUAAGCCCUGGUGAAUGUCGGCCGUAACUAUAACGGUCCUAAGGUAGCGAAAUACCUUGUCGGGUAAGUUCCGACGCGCACGAAUGGUGUAAUGACUGGAGAACUGUCUCGGGGACCAGCUCGGUGAAAAUACAAUACCGGUGAAGAUGCCGGUUAAGUGCAGUUAGACGAAAAGACCCUAGAAGCUUUACUAUAACUUGAUAUUGAGUAUGUUUUUUAGUUGCGUAGCAUAGAUGGGAGAGGUUUGAUGUGUACGGUUUCGGCUGUAUUCUACUCGUCAGUGAAAUACCAUUCUUCUGUGAGGCAUAUUCUAACCAAUACGGCAAAAACGUAUUGAGACAGUAUCUGGUGGAUAGUUUUACUGGGGCUGUACCCUCCUAAAAAGUAAAGGAGGGGUUUAAAGGUAAUCUAGGCGCGAAUGGAAACCGUGCCGAUAGUGUAAUAGCAUAAGAUUGCUUGACUGUGAGAGGUACAUCUCGAGCAGGUGGGAAACCAGAAUAUAGUGAACCGACCACCCGUAUUAGACGCGGUGGAAGAUUAACGGAUAAAAGCUACUCUAGGGAUAACAGGCUAGUUCCGCCCAAGAGUUCAUAUCGACGGCGGAGUUCGGCACCUCGAUGUCGGCUCACCUUAGCGCGGUGGCGGAGAAGCUACCAAGCGUUUGGCUGUUCGCCAAUUAAAAAGGUACGCGAGCUGGGUUCAGACCGUUAAGGUCAUAAAUUUAUUUUGUGAUUUUAAUAGUCUGAGCCCUCAGAGGAAGAAAGAACUUGAAAAAGAACUUGAACUGUUUUAAUCGAAAUCAAUCAUGAACUUAAAUGUUCAUCACGGCGGCGUAGUGUAGUAAUACAUUAUGAGAAGCUAACUUAUAUCGGAGAAAUCCAAUCCUGAGCAAAGUCGAAGGAGGAUAACGCCGAGGGAAAAAAUAUUUAUUUUGCCCGUAGAGACUGAAUGUUAGACAACCUAAUUUAUAGGUUGAUGUCACAGUCCAAUCCCCAAAGUAAUUUGGGACGUAGAUGCGUGAGACAGGUUGGUCUCCUAUCUACUGCACUCGUUGAUUCUUGAGAAGAUUUGCUCCUAGUACGAGAGGACCGGAGUGAACUGACCUCUGGUGUACGAGCUGUCCUGCCAAGGGCACUGCUCGGUAGCUAUGUCGGGAAUGGAUAACCUCUGAAAGCAUCUAAGAGGGAAGCCAGCUUCAAGAUUAGGAAUCGUUAAGAACCCUGAGAGAUGAUCAGGUUGAUAGGCUUUAAGUGUAAGCGCAGUAAUGCGUUGAGCUGAGAAGUACUAAUGUUUCGAUUCCUGUUAAGAA